UAAGGAAUAUUGGUCAAUGGAGGCAACUCUGAACCAGCCAUGCCGCGUGAAGGAUUAAGGCCCUCUGGGUUGUAAACUUCUUUUAUAUGGGAAGAAAUGUACUUUUUCUAAAGUGCUUGACGGUACCAUAGGAAUAAGCACCGGCUAACUCCGUGCCAGCAGCCGCGGUAAUACGGAGGGUGCAAGCGUUAUCCGGAUUUACUGGGUUUAAAGGGUGCGUAGGCGGAUGAAUAAGUCAGUGGUGAAAUCCUACAGCUUAACUGUAGAACUGCCUUUGAUACUUUUAUUCUUGAGUUCGGGAGAGAGAGACGGAAUUCCAGGUGUAGUGGUGAAAUACGUAGAUAUCUGGAAGAACACCAGUUGCGAAGGCGGUCUCUUGGUCCGACACUGACGCUGAGGCGCGAAAGCGUGGGGAGCAAACA
rnacentral:rRNA from 1 species